ACUCUUUCCUUUCUAUAGGUCCCCCGCAUCUCACACCUCACGACUCACCUUGAUCUAUUCUCUAUGUCAACAAAUGAAAAAAAGAAUCACGAUCUCAGAAGCCCACCCCUCCUCGGCGGCGAGCGUCCUCUCUCCCGAUAUGAUGUGAGUUCUUCAUCGUCUAUUGCUCCCUGGUGGCGAUCUCAGAAGCCUGGCCCAUGGCAUGACGCCUUCUACCAGCACUCUUCCAUGGCUCUAUGCCUAGACACAAACAUCCUCAGUACAGGAAAGGAGAACCAAUUGCCUGAAGACGAACGGCCCUCAGGUUGCCAUGUCCAGAUUUACUAAUGUUUCUUCUUGCAUCACGUGGAGAUGGAACUGUCAAGAACAAACAGACUGUUCUGACUGUGUUGGCCUUGAAUUCGAUUAACAAGAGUCAGUUCUUCGGUGAGACGCCCAGCUGUAGGUGGUUGCAAGAUAUAUCAUAAGGCAUUGACUGGAUGUUCAUGGUGUCAGUUAUCUCAAGAUCAUGUGAUACAGAGCCCACAAAGGAGUAGCUAGCAGAAUGAUCAUGGGUGGCGCAGAGUCCUACCAUCAACUUCUCCGCUGCUUCCAUCAAAACAAAAAACUUCUCUGUUGCUUCUCAUCUCAUGUGAAAGGCAUAUGCCAGUACAGAACAAUGUGUCCCAGUGAAGCUGGGGGCUGUCUUUCUUUCCGGACAGUACAACAUGGUAUCUUCCAGUGAAUGGAUAAGGAAACAAUAUAAGCAAAAAUAGCAAUGUGCACAGGUAAGCAUAACUUCUAAAUUUAUAUUUUAGCCCAUCGCCACUUCUCUUACAUAUGGCUGAACAGGUGCUGCGUCAAUAAAAUUUGAUGUAAAUUUUUGUUUCCCUUUUAUUCACUAGGGGCUUGCGACGUAGGUCAUUCACUUGAAUAUGCCUUUGGGAUAAGCAUUCACAUUGUGUUAGAUUUGGUUGUUGGUUCAUAGCAGGGUGAAAUAAAUAAUAGUUGAAAAGAAAUACUCAAUUUUAGAUGUCAUAGCAGUUCAAAUGAUUUAUUUCACACCACUAUGGAGAGUAGUUAGGCCUCUAAUGGAAUUUCUGUAUGUAACUACAUGAGCUUUACAUGUGGAUAAGGCCUUUGUACCAUUUCAUAUUUGGCAAAUCAAUUUCAGGUCAGGUAGCUCCUUCUAGAAGGUUUAUAAUAAGAAAAGUAUGCUGAUUUGGACAUUAUACCUCCUUUAGGGUUUA